AAGCGAGUCUGAAUAGGGCGAUUGAGUCGCGUGUCCUAGACCCGAAGCGGAGUGAUCUACCCAUGGCCAGGUUGAAGCGCGUGUAAGAGCGCGUGGAGGACCGAACCCACUUCAGUUGAAAAUGGAGGGGAUGAGCUGUGGGUAGGGGUGAAAGGCCAAUCAAACUCGGAGAUAGCUGGUUCUCCGCGAAAUCUAUUUAGGUAGAGCGUCGGAUGAAUACUCUCGGGGGUAGAGCACUGGAUGGGCUAUGGGGGCUUACCGCCUUACUGAUCCUAACCAAACUCCGAAUACCCGGGAGUACUAGAUGGCAGACACACGGCGGAUGCUAACGUCCGUCGUGGAGAGGGAAACAACCCUGACCUCCAGCUAAGGCCCCUAAUUCAUGGCUAAGUGGGAAAGCAGGUGGGACGACCAAAACAACCAGGAGGUUGGCUUAGAAGCAGCCA
rnacentral:rRNA from 1 species